UGGCUUUUGUGUGGUCAUGAGUACAGGACGGGAAAGUAUAUGUUGCCAAGAGGUAAACAAUAGUGAUCCUCUGAAACAUGGCGAUCAUAUUUGCAUCACACAAGAGGAAGAGUUUGCCACAGUGUGUACAAACGAAGCCGUCAUAAAAACAUCUAUGGUCGUGUACACACAUGACAUUGGACCUAUACCUGAGAGUGAAGAAAACGAAAACAUUACGCUACACGGCGUACCGACAGUGGACGGCUUGGGUGCAUGGCAAGUUGGGAAAAAAGUACAGACUACCCAUACCUUCUUGUGCUGUGGACAAAAUCCGGAAAGCAUUUCCUUCGCCUUCUGGAGAAUACAAAGGAUUUGAAUAUGCUCAACACUACUGAAUGAAGCGACAUUUAUGUUGCUUAAUGGCUUCAGCUUUGCUGAUUUUUGAUUUGUGGCAAGUCAAUGGGACAGGUAUUUCUUUCACUCCAGACAUGAAGAGCUUUGGACAGUGUUGGAUUAAUGCGUCUGCAGUACAAAACUUCUUUCAUCAAGUCCUUAACAUAUCCUGAAAAGCAAAUCAUUAUUUAUGUUGGCUUUGCAUUGCACUUUGAGAAAAA